rnacentral:rRNA from 1 species
UACGGAGGUGGCAAGCGUUGCUCGGAAUCACUGGGCGUAAAGGGCGCGUAGGCGGGGAGGUAAGUCGGGUGUGAAAUCCCUCGGCCCAACCGAGGAAAUGCGCCCGAGACUGCUUCUCUUGAGUCCCGGAGAGGAAGAUGGAAUUCCCGGUGUAGCGGUGAAAUGUGUAGAGAUCGGGAGGAACACCGGUGGUGUAGACGGCUUUCUGGACCGUAACUGACGCUGAGACACGAAAGCGUGGGUAGCAAACAGG